GACGAACGCUGGCGGCGUGCUUAACACAUGCAAGUCGAACGGAAAGGCCCUGCUUUUGUGGGGUGCUCGAGUGGCGAACGGGUGAGUAACACGUGAGUAACCUGCCCUUGACUUUGGGAUAACUUCAGGAAACUGGGGCUAAUACCGGAUAGGAGCUCCUGCUGCAUGGUGGGGGUUGGAAAGUUUCGGCGGUUGGGGAUGGACUCGCGGCUUAUCAGCUUGUUGGUGGGGUAGUGGCUUACCAAGGCUUUGACGGGUAGCCGGCCUGAGAGGGUGACCGGCCACAUUGGGACUGAGAUACGGCCCAGACUCCUACGGGAGGAAGCAGUGGGGAAUAUGGCACAAUGGGCGGAAGCCUGAUGCAGCAACGCCGCGUGCGGGAUGACGGCCUUCGGGUUGUAAACCGCUUUCGCCUGUGACGAAGCGUGAGUGACGGUAAUGGGUAAAGAAGCACCGGCUAACUACGUG
rnacentral:rRNA from 1 species